rnacentral:rRNA from 1 species
ACGGGAGGCAGCAGCUAAGAAUAUUCCGCAAUGGACGAAAGUCUGACGGAGCGACGCCGCGUGGAUGAUGAAGGUCGGAAGAUUGUAAAAUCCUUUUAAGUAUGAAGAAUAAGCAUCUGAGUGGAAAGCAGGUGUGGUGACGGUAAUACUUGAAUAAGCAACGGCUAAUUACGUGCCAGCAGCCGCGGUAACACGUAAGUUGCGAGCGUUGUUCGAAAUUAUUGGGCGUAAAGGACAUGUAGGCGGUUUUGCAAGCUUGGUGUGAAAGGCAGGAGCUUAACUCCUGGACUGCGUUGAGAACUGCAAGACUAGAGUCACUGAGGGGCAAUCAGAAUUCCUGGUGUAGGGGUGAAAUCUGUAGAUAUCAGGAAGAAUACCAAUGGCGAAGGCAGGUUACCAGCAGAUGACUGACGCUGAGGUGUGAAGGUGCGGGGAGCAAACAGGAUUAGAUACCCUGGUA